AAAUUUCAGUGUAUCUCGGUUUCAUGAUGCAAUGAUAAACCCAGGUAUUUUGAAAGAGACGGUUUCUGUAACCGCUGCAAGACAAGAUAUAUCACGAAUGUACAGCUCUGGAAGCAGGAAUUUGAACAAAAGCUGGAAAUGAACUGCCUCUGCUUUAUUUCUCUGGUAUAUUGCGCAAACGAGUUAGUUGUUGCCACGAUCGGAUAAAUUUUGAACACUUCGGAAGAUCCAUGACCAAAUUUGUGGCUUGAAACACAACGGAAAUUAACAUGGAAACGAGAGAACGCUGAUUUCGAGAGCAAUGGGGGAACGGUGGUUUGAAGAGGAAAUUGGAUAAACAGAUAAUAAAGAUUAUAAUUGAACGAAUUGC
rnacentral:misc_RNA from 1 species